GAAAUUAAAAAUGAUAUUGAAAUAGGCAUCUGCAUAAUGGACGCACAAUAUCAAAAAUAUUGACCGAAUAAUAAAGAAAAAUGGGCCACUCAUCAAAAGCGUUGACCAAUGUUGCCAACCUCAGACAAACUGACAAAGCCUCAUUGACUCAUGAAAUGACCAUUCUACCCUCGUCGACUCUCCAAACCAUCGCCCCCCACGAUACCGUUCAUUAAUUAAUCAACUGCAGAGGCAAAAAUUACUGAAUCUUUCGACGACUGGUGAGAGGUGGACAGAGGACAAGCUGACUCAUUUACAGACAAUUAGCUCUCAUCAUGGACGUGUGGAAGGUGGAUGGUGUCGCCGGAAAACAAUCUAUCAAGUCCCACAGAUUGCUUUGGGUCGGAAAACAGCCCAACAGAAUUCAUGAUUGACUUGGCAAAGUCUUGGUUUUGACUCUGAAAUCGCUUUUCAAGUUAUCAAAUUCGAAGGAGACUUUGUGUUAUCUCUAAAGAAUAUGCUUUUAUUGGAAACGGAGAACCAAUUAUUAAUUGGCGAUUUCAUUACAUGCCUAACAUUUUACACGGUAAACACAAAAGUUUCUGCAGAAUAAAUCCGAUGGGGUCUAAUUUGCAGAACCCUCCAGCCGAUCAAUCUCUCGCCGUCUCAAAACGAAUACGACGGGCGUCAGCCACAAGGUGUCAUCGGUCCAUUAACAAACCUCGUAACAUUCUUUUCUAGCUUUCUACGUUUCUCGCAAGUUGAGGGUUUUUGUAGCCAUUCCAUCGACCGGAGGCUAGGACCUUGCGGGCCACCUGGAGGGCAUCCCGGAGAAUCUCCGAGAGGCGGUCGAGUUGGGCUUGAUUUGCAGGCUCGGUUUACACAUGUAGGAUUUGCGCGAUAUGGUUAUUAACAUUUUGAGGAGCUCGGUGGCUCGCUNN
rnacentral:lncRNA from 1 species